UACGGAGGAUGAGAGCGUUAUCCGGAUUUAUUGGGUUUAAAGGGUGCGCAGGCGGAGGCACAAGUCAGAGGUAAAAUCGCGGGGCUCAACCCCGCUCCGCCGUUGAAACUGUGUCCCUUGAGUGCGCGAAGGGUAGGCGGAAUGCGUGGUGUAGCGGUGAAAUGCAUAGAUAUCACGCAGAACUCCGAUUGCGAAGGCAGCUUACUAAGCCAUAACUGACACUGAAGCACGAAAGCGUGGGGAUCAAACAGG
rnacentral:rRNA from 1 species